AGUGUUGUGCCAGAUGAAAUGGGUUAUCUUGAUGAGGUAAAAUAUAGGUUAUUCCUUGACACUA
rnacentral:tRNA from 1 species